rnacentral:rRNA from 1 species
CGAGGAAUUCCUAGUAAACGCAAGUCAUCAACUUGCAUUGAUUACGUCCCUGCCCUUUGUACACA